rnacentral:rRNA from 1 species
UACGAAGGGCGCAAGCGUUACUCGGAAUUACUGGGCGUAAAGCGUGCGUAGGUGGUUUGUUAAGUCUGUUGUGAAAGCCCCGGGCUCAACCUGGGAAUGGCAAUGGAUACUGGCAAGCUAGAGUGCGGUAGAGGGUAGUGGAAUUCCCGGUGUAGCGGUGAAAUGCGUAGAGAUCGGGAGGAACACCAGCGGCGAAGGCGGCCCCCUGGGCCGCUCCUGACGCUGAGACGCGAAGGCCAGGGUAGCGAACGGG